UUGAUGACUAUACUAUUUCCCAGUCACCCUCACCCAAUGAAGGCUUGAGCGUGAGUACUCAAUAUUCUCAACUGAGCUCAGAAGAGAGUGUCAGAAUCACAGAGUCCUCAACUAGUCUGAUUCAGAGCAUUAAGAAGCUCUCUAGCAAUGACUUUCAGACUCAGGCAGAAGAGGCAGUGAGUAAAGUGCUGAUGAGAUCCAGUCAUUCCUUUAUCACACAGAUCAGCCAUACUGGUCUUCAGAAAAGUCUGCAGGCUGGCUUAUCAUCUAGCUCACCAUCAGAGAUCCAUGUCCUUUCAGAAUCCAUGUCCUCCAUGUCCUCUGAGAAUACAGCCUCUGGAUUAGUGGAAACCUUUGUCAAAGGAAUGGCGACUAUUUUCCAGAAAAAUGAGUCCACUGACACUGUGCUACUGGAAAGAAGUGGGAGAGUUUCACAGUGCUCCCACGGGGGCUCCCAACUGGAUGAUACUGAAUUGAGUGUUAAAAUAUCAGAGGAGAAGCUUUGGUCAACAGCUAAGAACAUCUGCGUCAGUAUGAAGAACACACUUAAGGAUUUCUUCACAGGGCUGAAGCCAUCCGGAUCCGAAAGGACAGAAAUGGCUUCUUCCAAAGAGACCCUUGGGGAAAUCCUGGUUGCUAUCCAGAGUGAAAUCUCAAACUUCGGGCGAAUGAAGGAUUCCAGGGAGCUCCUUCAGAUCAAUGAUAUGGUAGGAACUAUGCUGAAGGAGAUUGAGAAAAGUGAGGAUGACAGUGAACAAGUCUGCCAAGACAUCCCUCGAACCUGUUCAUCUUUAUCCACUUCUUUAAAUGGUCGUAGUUCCUUGUCCAGCUCUUCAAAGGGUCCUAGGUCAGAGUGUGAGUUAGAGAUCAACCUCCCUGGCACUCCCAUCCUGAAGUGCCUUUUGAUCUGACCUGCCCCAUCGUCAGGAGCUCCUGCAUCGACACCAGGGAAUCUAAAAUGCCAGAGAUUUCUACAAGUGACCUAAAGACAAAGAUGAUGGCACACACAGAUGAACCCCUGCAUCGUAACAGUCCAAUGACUGACAGCAGCCGACCACCGAGUGCUAAAGUCUCUUUUCGAUCCUCCACUCCGUCUUUCACCAGCAAGGGAACCUUUUUGGUACCAAAGGGAGAGGGGAUUGACAUUGAAGAGAAGGAGGUGUGUAUCCCUAGCAGCUCUGGCCAUCUGAGGGAGCUCUUAAUCAUCCCGGACAUCAGCAGUGCCACUGCAUUCCCACUGCAGUACUUGAUGGAUUCCAGCAAAGAUGAUGGCAUCUGUUUUGUCACCAUACUGGUGAUAAGGUUGCUAUCGGAGAUCAGACCCUCAGCCCUAGAUGGACCCUCCCAACAGGCAGCAGAUCUGACAGAAACAUCUCAGCAACUCAUCAGACAAGUCCUGUCUGAGUUCUGUGCUGCAUCCAGAUUAUCCAGGACACAGGCAUAUUCCCAGAACCUGAACAUCCAAAGGGUGUUCAGAGGUGUACAUAAAAACCUCAUGGAGGAGUUUGGCUCUUAUAACACCCUGCAAGCAGCUAUUUCCUCCCAGGACCCUGCAUUUGACAGAGUCCUGGUAAAGUCCUUGACCCAGCAGCUGGUACAGGGAUGCAAGGAGGCGUCAAGACCAAACCCAUCAGACCAGGCUGAGACAGAGAGGGGGGCUGAGCAGAAAGCAAGAAGGAGCUUCCUUUGCUUUUCAAUGACCAAACUCAGGAUCAACUUCAAGCGUUCCAAGAGAGGAAACAAAAAGGACUGCCAUUCAGUCCAGGACCAGACUGAGAUUCCCUCUACUGAUGGACAUUGCAUAGCUCCAGUUGGAGAGGGUUCUCCCUCCAUAUCUCAGCCUGUCAAAAAACGAUCCUUGAUUGUCAGGGUCUUUUCAGCAAUGAUGAAGCCAUUCAGGCGCUUCACCAAGAAGAACCUGUAACCUGUUACGCUGCAUGAAGAACUACUUUUGUAACAGCAAGACUUUUGACAAGCGGAAUUUCUGCAUGUCUAACCUUUCAAAGUCUAUUUGAUCAAAUAAAUGCCAAUGAUUUUACAAGAAUUUCAAGUGUUUUGGAAGAUUGAUAAUACUGAAGCAGAUUUUCUCAGAGAAAUGCACUAGUUCCCCCUUGGUUACACAUUUAUUGUUCAGCUUUUGAGUUGGCAGGACAUAGGGCGUCAGGUAGCCUUGUGGUUAGAGCAUUGGGCCAAUAACCGAAAGGUUGCUAGGUCAGAUCCCUGAGCUGGCCAUGUAAAAAUAUGUCGUUCUGCUCCUGAACAAGGUAGUUAACCCACUGUUCCUAAGCUGUCAUUGUAAAUAAGAAUUUGUUCUGAACUGACUUGUCUAGGAAAAUAAAUAAAAUAACCACAGCUUGACUCUAAUACAAUAGUUGCUGCAUAGACUGUCAGAUAACCAGAUGUUCUCUAUUAAUUUAGUUAGAUUGGUAAGAGCUUAUU
rnacentral:lncRNA from 1 species